rnacentral:rRNA from 1 species
GCCUCUGGUCUACCGGUUGUCCGACAGGGCAAUGCCGGGCAGCUACGCCAUAGCGGAUAAGAGCUGAAAGCAUCUAAGCUCGAAGCCGCCCCCGAAAAGAGGUAGCCAAUCCGGACCGGGG